rnacentral:snoRNA from 1 species
UUGGCCCUGAAUCAAGGCCAGCAGUUUGCUGAAGCUGUUGGUCUCAAGCAGGCACCUAAAGAAAAGUCUUUUUCUGGUCUGUUGGUCAUUUCAGGACUUUGGAAAUGUAAUGGUCAAUUCAUUAGGAAGAAACAUAU